CAGCAGUUUUCAGUGCACUACCGCACUCUUGCGCAAUUUGGUGACCGCACAAACAGAACAACGUCAAGGCCACAUCAUGACACAUGCUUGGGACCAAAGACAACUUUGCUAUCACAAUAGAUGCACGCGAAAUCGAAAAAGGAUUCCUCAUCAACUCCUCACUCACUCAUCAGGUUCACAAGCUUGUUGAAGUUCUCGUACGAUGACCCCCCUUCGCUGACGCACCAGCGAGCCGCGUCCUUGAACAGCCGCGCCCUCUCCUUGAUCUCGGCGUCGCUGACGACCUCCUCCACCUUGCUCCUCAGCUCCUCCUUGGUUAUGAUCCCGUCCGCGCCCGGCGCCACCGCCAGGCCGGUCCUCCACACGUUGGUCACGUAGCUCCGGUUCAGGUACUGGUCGCAGAAGUAGGGCCAGCACAGGAACGGCGUGCCGUUCCUGACACCCUCCAUCGUCGAGUUCCAUCCGCAGUGCGACACGAAGCACGCUACCGCACGGUGCGCCAGGACCUGUCAAGAAAAUGAAACGGGGCGCCGUCGAUCACUCUCUGUCGUCCAACAGGGGCAAACGAUAGCGACUGAUAGCUAGCUCAACUACUAGGCGUUUAUGGGUUCAGUUCGAGGUGACCUGCUGCUGGGAGCACCAGCUGACGAUCAUGCCUCUGCCGGCGACGCGUUCGUGGAACUCGGUGAGCCACGCCUUGCUCAGGCCGGGGGUGAAGUCCGGCCGCACUAUCCACAGGAACGGCCGGCCGGUGAGCUCCAGCCCCUCGGCCAGCUCCUCGAACUGGCGCGGGUCGAAGAUGGCCAUGCUGCCGAAGGCCACGUACACGACGGACCCGUCGGGCUGCGCGUCGAGCCACUUGAUGCACCGCUCGUCCUCCGGCAGGAAGUUCCCGACGGGCUUCCGGAACUCCCGGUCGGCGAACAGCGGGCCGAUGGGCAGGACGUUGGGGAAGAGCUUGGACGCGCCGGCCUCGGCCUCGUGGAAGGAGUUGCCCACCGUCAUCUCGGCGAGGCCGUUGAGCUUGUUGUUCCGGGUGACCAGGUCGAAGAUGAUGUGCUGCCCCUCCGGCGCGCCGGCGUUGUUCCACGACAGGUGCGACGUGUGCAGCGGCGGCAUCCCCGGGGCGAGCUGGAACGUCUCCUGACGCCGUGGCAAGCCUGCAGAGUUAUUCCGGCACGUUAGAUUCAGUCCACAAGGGCGUGCGAGCGUGCGACAAAUUGUCAACGACCACGUCGUCCACUCUGGUCGCAAGUUGGAUUAGUUCAAACUUGCCCGGAAGGUUGCAGCUCUGCCAUUGGCUGCUGUUAACUGGAGAGGGCGAGAGACCACUAAAGAAAACUGAAACUGAUCGACUAGAUUGAUCUGCCUUCGAUUUAGUGCGCGCGCUAACUACUGAAUAAUGGUAAAAAGUUUACUAGGAACAACUGAUCGACUAGAAUAUGAUGAUUACCCUUGUCGUCGAUGAGUCCGUCCUCGAUCAGCUUGGGGAUCUUGAGCAUCAAGGCCAAGCACGCCGUGGCCGCCGGCCAGAAGGACACGACCCUGAUGCCGAACUUCUUGGCGACCUCGAAGGACCAGCCCAUGUUGACGUCGCCGACGAGCCACUUCACCCUGGGCCGCCCAGCGGCCUCCAGGCCGGCGAUGAGCCGCUCCAGGUGGCCCGGCAUGUGGCGCGUGAAGGCGUCGAUGAGCUUGUUGAGGUCCUUGCG
rnacentral:lncRNA from 1 species